rnacentral:rRNA from 1 species
GUUUGGUUAAGUUAGAAAGGGCGCACGGUGGAUGCCUUGACACUAGGAGUCGAUGAAGGACGGGACUAACGCCGAUAUGCUUCGGGGAGCUGUAAGUAAGCUUUGAUCCGAAGAUUUCCGAAUGGGGAAACCCACCAUACGUAAUGGUAUGGUAUCCUUAUCUGAAUACAUAGGAUAAGGAAGACAGACCCAGGGAACUGAAACAUCUAAGUACCUGGAGGAAGAGAAAGCAAAUGCGAUUUCCUGAGUAGCGGCGAGCGAAACGGAACAUAGCCCAAACCAAGAGGCUUGCCUCUUGGGGUUGUAGGACAUUCUAUACGGAGUUACAAAGGAACGAGGUAGACGAAGCGACCUGGAAAGGUCCGUCGUAGAGGGUAACAACCCCGUAGUCGAAACUUCGUUCUCUCUUGAAUGUAUCCUGAGUACGGCGGAACACGUGAAAUUCCGUCGGAAUCUGGGAGGACCAUCUCCCAAGGCUAAAUACUCCCUAGUGAUCGAUAGUGAACCAGUACCGUGAGGGAAAGGUGAAAAGCACCCCGGAAGGGGAGUGAAAGAGAUCCUGAAACCGUGUGCCUACAAAUAGUCAGAGCCCGUUAA